GAAGAAUUUCUUGCCGUGCAUCUGUUAACCUCUCUCUGUUUAUGAAGAAACCUCAAUCUUAGAAACAACUUCCCCCUUUCUCGAUUUUCUCAUCCCCAGAUUAUGUGGGAUUUAGUUUGUUCCUGUUUUAGAUCAACCUUGACAUGCUUUUUGGAUGUUUAUGUUAAUUUGCUGGGUAAAGCUUUAAUCUGAGUGAUUUAUUUUGUUGUUUUGUAGUUUCUUAAGAGCUUUUGGAAAGUGCUUUUAAAAUAAGCUGCUUUUGUUCUCUGCAUAUUACAACUUUGAAGUGACUUGAUGAAGGUGGCUUGUAUGAAAUGCCAAACUUGGAGGCGCCAGCUUUUGGUCACCAACAACACUUUUUUUUAUUUAAUUAGAAAAUGUAAUUAUUUAAGGUUUUCUUUUAAUACAAAUGUGUAUAUUUGGAUUUAUCUGUAACUUAU
rnacentral:lncRNA from 1 species